CUGAAUUAUUGGAUGCACCACCUUUUUCACGUUACAAAAAGUUAAACCUACCGACAUUGUUGUCCAUCAUAUCUUCCUCCAUUGCACUAGUAUUGUCUCGAAGAAGAGAGAAACUAAAAACUCUGAUUAGCUGAGUUGCAGGGAAUUGAAGGAAUGGCGGCUGAAGCUGUGCUUACUUUUGCUGCGGAGGGAAUACUGAACAAGGUGCUUUCGCUUCCUGCUCAAGAAUUCGGUCUUGCAUGGGGUUUCAAAGCUGAACUCAGAGAGGUUCGAAAGUCAUUCACCGGCAUUGAAUGUUUCUUGGUUGAUGUUGCCGACCAACCACAAGGUCGGAGCAAGUCAAUAGAGGAAUGGGUGAAGAACCUCAAAGACGUAGCUCAGGAUGCUGAGGAUGUCUUGGAUGAACUCCAGUACGAAGUUGAUCGGCGUAAAGUCGAAAUCCAAAACCAUAUGAAGAAAAAGGUUCUUAACUUCUUUUCACUCUCCAAUCCACUUGCAUUUCGUCUUCAAAUGGCGCAUAAAAUGCAGAAGAUCAAUGCAUCCUUGGUGGAACUCAAGAGUGAAGCAUCUGUUCUUGGACUAGUUUCCAAGAAUAAAGGUGCAACCCCUCAGGGGAUCAGAUGGGAUAGACAAACCGACUCACGUAUUGGCAGAGAUGGAAUAACUGUUGGAAGGGGAGAGGUUGUGACAAAAAUAGUUACAACCUUGACCGACUCCAAGUACAAUCAAGAAAAUCCUGCGGUUAUGGCCAUCGUGGGAAUGGGUGGCCUCGGAAAGACAACAUUGGCCAAGUCCGUUUAUAAUGAGGCUUUGAUACACAAGCAUUUCGAAACAGGAAUAUGGGUUUGUGUAUCGGACACUUUUCGAUGUUGAUUUAAUUCUACUCAAGAUGUUAGAACAACUUAAACCGGCAAACGCCCCUUCUUCGAAAGAUAACCGGAAGCUCUGCUUAAGUUCCUUAAUGAAGAGUUGAAAGAUAAAAGAUACAUACUCGUACUUGAUGACGUUUGGAACGAAGAUUCCGGAAAAUGGGAGAAUUUGAUGGAAUGUUUGUCAAAGCUUUAUUCUGCUGCAGGAUCUAAAAUUGUUGUCACUACUCGCAAGUGGAAAUGUUGCAUCAAUCUCAGAAAAAUUACUUGCACGACAUGAUCUGGAACACCUUUCAGUAGAUGAAUGUUGGUCCAUCAUAAAAGAUGGAGCUUUCCUCAAUAGCAGUGAUCAUAUAACUCAUGAAUUCCAGACAGUUGGAAUGAAGAUUGCUGAAAAUUGUGGUGGUGUUCCAUUAGUGGCAAAGGUUUUGGGAGGCAUUUUGCACACUAAAAAAAGUAUUGAAGAAUGGUCAUUGUUUCAAAACAGUAUAAUAUGGCACAACCUAUCAAAAGAAGAAGAUAGAAUUAUGCGAGUGUUGAAGUUGAGUUUUGACAACUUAGAAUCACCAUCGUUGAAGCAAUGUUUUUCAUACUGCUCAAUGUUCGAAAAAGAUUUUGAAAUUCAAAGAGAGAACUUGAUUCAACUUUGGAUGGCUCAAGGACUACUCCACUCUUUGCUUGGCGAAAGUAAAGAUAUGGAAGACAUUGGCAAUGAAUAUUUUGAUGUUCUAUUGCAGAGAUCCUUAUUUCAAGAUGCUGGAAUGAGUCAUAAUGGCAUUGUUAGAAAAUACAAGAUGCAUGAUCUUGUGCACGAUAUGGCGGAACUUGUAUCCAAAUCAGAAAGCUUGACUGGAGACUUACGUGGCAUAGAUAAUACAAAUGAGAUUCGACAUGUUGCUCGGGUUUCUACUUCUAUGCUGGAUAAACUUCCAGAAAUAAGUGCUAGGAAAUUGCGGUCGUUGUUUUUCGACGAUGGUGAAGUUCCUAGUAACAUUUUGGCACGGUUCAAAGCUUUACGUGUCUUAAAUUUAAGUAAUGCUAAUAUUGAAGAAUUUCCAGUUUCAGUUGGAAGACUGAAACACUUGAGGUAUCUUGACAUUUCUGAAACAAGAUUCAAAUCAUUCCCCAAGUCUAUAGGCAAGCUCUAUAACCUUCAGACGUUAAGAGCAACGAAUUGUGCUCUUAAAGAGUUUCCAAAAGAACUGCAAAACUUGACCAACCUGAGACAUAUUUAUUUUGAUGAGAGUACAAAAUUCCCCCAGGGUAUAAGUCGGCUAACAUGCCUUCGAACAUUACCUUACUUUUCGGUGGGUAAUGAAAUUGGUCGUCAAAUUGAAGAGUUGGCUGGCUUGAAACAAUUGAAAGGUAAACUAAUUAUUCGUAAUCUGGAGCACGUAAAGAAUGGAGAAGAAGCAAAGAAAGCUAAGUUACAUGAUAAGAGGGAAGUAUGCCAUUUAAGCUUCAAAUGGACAAAAGAUAGGUCAAUAACCAACAACAAUGAAGAUGGGGAUGUACUGGAAGGCCUCCGACCGCAUCCUGGGUUGGAGAGCUUAUGUAUUGAAAACUUCAUGGGAGAUAGGUUUCCAUCGUGGAUGAUGAGAAGGUCAUUACUACUCAACAACUUGAAGGGCAUUAAGCUACUUGGAUGCGACAAAUGUGAAGGAGUCCCACCGCUUGGUCAUCUGCCCAAUCUUACGGAGCUUAAUAUUAAUGGAAUGGCUAAUUUGACAUGCCUUGGAGUUGAAUUCUAUGGUUAUGAUCUUGUCCACGAUGUAGCCACGACAGGUAAGGAGAAAAUUACUUUAUUUCCUGCACUAAAAGUAUUACAUAUUGUGAAGUGCAACAAUCUAAUUGAAUGGAUGGAAGCGCCAAUGAUGUCAACACAAAAAGUUGUGGUUUUUCCUUGCCUCGAGGAGUUGGAUAUCAAAGAUUGUUCCAAAUUGAGAAAUGUUCCGAGUCAUUUUCCAUCUCUUCAAAAGUUGGUGAUAAAUUAUAGUGAUAGUGGAACGCCAAUAGAAGAAAUAAGCAGUGAAUUAACAACUCUUGUUUCCCUCGAAAUAAAUGGUAUUAAGGAGCUUACCUGUUUGCCACAAGGAAUUUUGAAGAACAAUAAUAAUCUCUCAUCUUUGACGAUAAACGGAUGCGAUAAGCUGAGGCAUUUGGCGGAUGGGCUAGACACACUCCCUCUCCUUGAAUACCUGGAUAUUGGUUAUUGUGAACAAUUGUCAGGCCUACCGAGUGGGAUACGGUACUGCCCCUCUCUCCAGAAAUUGCAUUUACAAUGUUGCGAUGGACUAUCAGGCCCACUGAGUGUAUGGGCCUCUCUCAUGGAUUUGAAUAUAGUGCAUUGCCGUAAUCUGACAUCAAUUGAAAUCAAAGGCGGCGUGUCCUCUCUUCAGAAGUUGACAAUCUAUUAUUGCGAAGAAUUAUCGAGUUUACCUGCUCUUCCUCCCUCUCUUCAGGUAUUUCAUAUAAGUGAAUGCCCAAAGGUCCAAAGUAACAGCAUUAGUCUACAAUCUUUUUCAGAUUUGCGCACCUUCACCUCCCUUCGAGUACUGAUAAUUGUCCAAUGUGAAGGAUUGGAAAGUUGGGUGAGCAGGCUGCAAUUCCCACUCUCUCUUGAGACGCUACAAUACAGGAUUUCCCUAAUUUAGAGAUUCUUCCAAGUUUAGACAACCUCACUUCUCUCCGUUAUUUGGGGAUUGUAAAUUGGCGAAAGCUAAAACAUCUGCCGACGGGGUUACAACGGCUCCCGCACUUGGAGGGAUUGAGCAUCGGUGGGUUCUGGGAGGAGCUCGAUUCCUUCCCUGAUUUUCAAGUUGGAUCAUUAAUGCAUCUUAGAUGGUUAACGUUGUAUGGUUGGCCUAAGCUCAAGUCUCUGCCUCAACAAAUUCAACACCUCACUUCUCUAACAGAUUUGAGAGUACAUCACUUUGAGGGAGUGGAGACUUUGCCAGAAUGGUUGGGUAGCCUUACAUCCCUUACACUUCUAUGGAUUGAAGAUUGCAAGAAUCUGACCAAUUUACCUAGUGUCCAAGCUAUGCAACGCCUCACCAAAUUACAAAUCCUGUGGAUUAAUCACUGUCAUCCCCUUCUAAAGCAAAGAUGCAGCAGGGACAGCGGCACAGAUUGGCCUAAGAUUUCUCACAUUCCAAAUAUCGAAAUUUGGUAGGUCACACAGUAGUUGGAUGGAAGGUAGGCAGCACCUUACCAAACUACAGCAAAUGUGUAUUGGAAAAACCAAAUUUCAUGGUGUGCAAGGCCACAAGAUUAUUUGUAUUCCAGUUUCAUGUUCAAACCAACUCCAAAUGGCUCCAACUUUCGCAUUGAAAUUAAGUCAUUGGCGUCUAUAUUUCUUUUGGCCUGCAGUGGCGUUUUUCAGGAUGCUCAAUGGGUGCAAACUGAGUUAAGUUUGCUUAUUCCAUUGGUUCCUGCAUUGUUUGUUUAUAUUAUCCCAAGACUGUUUUCAGAAUAACGAUGUUGAUAUAAUAUAUAGAACUGUUGUAAUUGCUUUCGUAUGAAGAUUUAGGACUGAGUUUUGAGGCUCCUUGUAAUAUCUGAAUUGUAUGCGCGUUGAUUUGAAUACUAUUGAUUUUGUGUCUGUAGUUGAUAUCGCUCUUUAGCCGACCCCACUUAGUGGGAAAAGGCUUUGUUGUUGUUGUUGUUGUAGUUGAUAUCGCUCUAUUAACUUAAUGAACUAUUGAGUACCCAUAU